rnacentral:rRNA from 1 species
CGCGGCCUAUCAGCUUGUUGGUGAGGUAACGGCCCACCAAGGCGACGACGGGUAGCCGGCCUGAGAGGGUGACCGGCCACACUGGGACUGAGACACGGCCCAGACUCCUACGGGAGGCAGCAGUGGGGAAUAUUGCACAAUGGGCGCAAGCCUGAUGCAGCAACGCCGCGUGAGGGACGACGGCCUUCGGGUUGUAAACCUCUUUUAGCAGGGAAGAAGCGAAAGUGACGGUACCUGCAGAAAAAGCACCGGCUAACUACGUGCCAGCAGCCGCGGUAAUACGUAGGGUGCAAGCGUUGUCCGGAAUUAUUGGGCGUAAAGAGCUCGUAGGCGGUUUGUCGCGUCUGCUGUGAAAAUCCGAGGCUCAACCUCGGACCUGCAGUGGGUACGGGCAAACUAGAGUGCGGUAGGGGAGAUGGGAAUUCCUGGUGUAGCGGUGGAAUGCGCAGAUAUCAGGAGGAACACCAAUGGCGAAGGCACAUCUCUGGGCCGUAACUGACGCUGAGGAGCGAAAGCGUGGGGAGCGAACAGGAUUAGAUACCCUGGUAGUCCACGCCGUAAACGGUGGGUGCUAGCUGUGGGCCACAUUCCGCGUGGUCCGUGACGAAGUUAACACAUUAAGCACCCCGCCUGGGGAGUACGG